GUAGUCGUGGCCGAGUGGUUAAGGUGAUGGACUAGAAAUCCAUUGGGGUCUCCCAGCGCAGGUUCGAAUCCUGCCGACUACG
rnacentral:tRNA from 2 species